rnacentral:rRNA from 1 species
CCUACGGGUGGCAGCAGUGGGGAAUAUUGCACAAUGGGGGGAACCCUGAUGCAGCAACGCCGCGUGGGUGAAGAAGUACUUCGGUAUGUAAAGCCCUGUCAGCAGGGAAGAAAAUGACGGUACCUGACCAAGAAGCCCCGGCUAACUACGUGCCAGCAGCCGCGGUAAUACGUAGGGGGCAAGCGUUAUCCGGAUUUACUGGGUGUAAAGGGAGCGUAGACGGCAAGGCAAGUCUGGAGUGAAAGCCCGUGGCUCAACCACGGGACUGCUUUGGAAACUGUGUUGCUGGAGUGCAGGAGGGGUAAGCGGAAUUCCUGGUGUAGCGGUGAAAUGCGUAGAUAUCAGGAGGAACACCGGUGGCGAAGGCGGCCUGCUGGACUGCAACUGACGUUGAGGCCCGAAAGCGUGGGGAGCAAACAGGAUUAGAUACCCCUGUAGUC